GCCGUGACUAGCAGGCAUCCACUGAGCAGGGUCUUUAUCGCUCUUGGAGCGGUUCGAGCUCGCUGUCACAGCA
rnacentral:tRNA from 1 species